GAUGAACGCUGGCGGCGUGCCUAAUACAUGCAAGUCGAGCGAACAGAUGAGGAGCUUGCUCCUCUGACGUUAGCGGCGGACGGGUGAGUCACACGUGGAUAACCUACCUCUAAGACUGGGAUAACUUCGGGAAACCGGAGCUAAUACCGGAUAAUAUAUUGAACCGCAUGGUUCAAUAGUGAAAGACGGUUUUGCUGUCACUUAUAGAUGGAUACGCGCCGCAUUAGCUAGUUGGUAAGGUAACGGCUUACCAAGGCAACGAUGCGUAGCCGACCUGAGAGGGUGAUCGGCCACACGGGAACUGAGACACGGUCCAGACUCCUACGGGAGGCAGCAGUAGGGAAUCUUCCGCGAGGGGCGAAAGCCUGACGGAGCAACGCCGCGUGAGUGAUGAAGGUCUUCGGAUCGUAAAACUCUGUAAUUAGGGAAGAACAAAUGUGUAAGUAACUAUGCACGUCUUGACGGUACCUAAUCAGAAAGCCACGGCUAACUACGUG
rnacentral:rRNA from 1 species